GUAGGUGAACCUGCGGAAGGAUCAUUAAAAUAACGGGUUCGGAACCUUUGAUCGGGGUCUGAACCUUUGGCGCGAAGCACCCGGGUCUGGUGGCUUAUCUAUGGGGCCGGGUAUUGCCGUUACAAGCUUUGGAAUGGGCAUGAGAAGGGGUAGCGUCUGCAGGGUUAGUAUCUAUCACCUGUAGGUCCCUGUGCCGCCCUGUUUACAGUCACCCACCCGCUGGAUCCAUGACCAAAAAACCCACUGUGAA
rnacentral:misc_RNA from 1 species